rnacentral:rRNA from 1 species
AUUGAACGCUGGCGGCAGGCCUAACACAUGCAAGUCGAGCGGAUGAAGGGAGCUUGCUCCUGGAUUCAGCGACGGACGGGUGAGUAAUGCCUAGGAAUCUGCCUGGUAGUGGGGGAUAACGUCCGGAAACGGGCGCUAAUACCGCAUACGUCCUGAGGGAGAAAGUGGGGGAUCUUCGGACCUCACGCUAUCAGAUGAGCCUAGGUCGGAUUAGCUAGUUGGUGGGGUAAAGGCCUACCAAGGCGACGAUCCGUAACUGGUCUGAGAGGAUGAUCAGUCACACUGGAACUGAGACACGGUCCAGACUCCUACGGGAGGCAGCAGUGGGGAAUAUUGGACAAUGGGCGAAAGCCUGAUCCAGCCAUGCCGCGUGUGUGAAGAAGGUCUUCGGAUUGUAAAGCACUUUAAGUUGGGAGGAAGGGCAGUAAGUUAAUACCUUGCUGUUUUGACGUUACCAACAGAAUAAGCACCGGCUAACUUCGU